GCUAUAUUUUUGUUUUUAUUUUCACGCGCCGUGAGCGUGAAACCGACUAGAAAGCUAGAAACUCUUGGUGAAACCAUUUUCUGCAUUGCGAUUUUUUCUCCUUUGAAAAACUCGAAACAUUGGGGAACUGAGAUGGUGAACGUGCUGCUUUCACCGGAGCUGCAACUGCAGCAGCCAUGGAAAUUGGAAUUGGAGGUCGGGAUUUCAGUCAUUGCAGCCGAAACAUGGGCGGGUAAUCGGUCCGCCAACUUCGUUUGUCAGCAGUUUCCCGGUUCGUCAUAGUUCUCGAGAAAUGGCAUUUUGAAUUCGAUUUCCUAUGUUUUCCGAAAACAAUAUAUCUAUGGGGCAAUAUUUCCUGCAUUACGUCCUUGACGAGCGACGUUGAAAGUAGUUUAAGGAGCUACAUAAUUGUACAUGUCGA